UCCUUCGGCUCUCUGGAAAAUAGAAAUUGUUACGAAAAUCCUGCCAUCACUUUUUAUUUGCACCGUCAAUCUCUCUUCGUAUUCUUCCCUUAGAUCCAAUGUUUCAAACAAAUACAUAACUUCAAAAAUUUAAGAUUCAAUCACCAAGCCAACGGGCCAAGCAGUUUCCUUCCUCUUCCGCCAUCUCGGCGCUAAUCAGUAAGGAUUCGAUCAGUGCGAAGAAACGAAGCAUUGGAUUUGGGGUCAGCAGGUGUGCAAGCUUCUAUGCGCCUCCCCUAAUCAAUCAGUGUCUAACAAAGAGAUCUCGAACUGGAUUAUGUAUGAAUUCGUUGGUCUUCUAGGAUUUCGUGUGAGAUUACUUGAAAUCAAUCAAGUAUUGGAAUCAAUCCGUCAAGCUUUUCACCACCAGGUUCAUAUCUUUCUCCCUCACGACUCCCAUUUAAUCUUAACCCAAAUUUUUUCAUGCUUAAAUUGGAGCUGUUUGGUACAUGUGUGGUUGUGGAGCUGCAUAAACUGGAUAAAGAUUAUUCCGAGUCGCUCAGAUGCUUAGUACAACCACGUAAUCUUCCCUUCCCUUUCUCCCUAUCUUAUUUUGUUAUAAUGGGUAAGGUCAAGUGAUGGUGGCGGUGGAAUCUGUGAUUCCUCCGAUCGUCGGAAUAUACGUCCCCCCCAUCUUCCCAACUCUGUAGCGAGUUUUGAAUGCUUCACUGGACUGAUGGUGUUCUCCAAGUUCAUAGCCUGCAGUGAAUGUCAAACAAAAGUAACCCGAGUAGCCACAUCAUAGGUCUGCCUAUAAAUGCAAUAACCACAACACCAUAGGAGUUGUCAAUGCUGCUGAAGAAUCAGAGAAGGGUUGUAAGAAAGACAAAUUCAUCCAAACCAGAUUACAUGCUUUUUGGAAUAUGGAACUAGGGAGACAGCUGAGAAUGCGGUUAGUGUCAAAUAAAAGUUACCCGACAGACUGGAGAAAUGGGUUGCGUGUUAAGCUUCUUGAACAUGCAAGAAAGUUUGCACGGAGAAUACUAACUAUGAAGGAAGUAGAUCCAGAGAAGGACAAUACAGGCCGAGUGCAUGGUCAAACUAAAGGUGAGGAGAACAAAAACUCAAAUGAACAUCAUCAUCACCGUCACCAUCAUCCUGAUACUUCAGUUGAUAUCUGAUGGCUUUAAGCUGUUUAAAAUCAUCUAUCACGGUCCCAACAGCUGUUCUUCUUCUAGGAGGCUGCCUCUUCGCCUAAUACUGAAUAUAACGACUCUGGUAGCAAGGGAUCUCUCUUUGGGGGUUUGACUGGCUCUAUCCUUACGGCAUCUGUAUGAUCUCUCUCUAUUCUUAUUCGUUAUUUCCAGUUUCUUUAUAGCCAUUUAUUCUCCUUGGAUGAAAUGUCUAAGAAACUAAUGCACUGUUCAAAAAUUUUGUUUGUGCUUAAUGUUCUUCUCCUCGAAGCUUUAUUUUAGUUCCUUGAGAAAAUGAUGUUGUGUGUCUCUUUAGGGAGGCCUCGGAUACUAUCUUCACAUUUGAUAUGCUAAAAUCUUUUGUUACUGUGGCA